CACUCUUCUCUCUUCGUUCGACAAAUCACUCACUCUCUCUCUCUUUCUCUACACCGACACUCCUUACAAUUCAUAAUUUUAUCAACUCAUCAUUCUUAGGGUUUGUGAACGAACGAUUGAGUCGAAUUGAUACUUGAAUUUCACUGUUUCAAAUCAGAAGUUAGAUCUUAAUCUGUGAGGAUUCAAAAGUAAAGUGAAGCAAAUAUGGAUGCUGAUUCAUGGAGUGCUCGUCUAUCUUCUGCUUCCAGGCGCUAUCAAUCUGCUUUUCAGUCUCGAUCUGGAAUGAAAUGGGAGAAUCUUGAGGCGGAAAUGUUGAUGGGUUUUGAGGAACUAGACGUGGAUGAUGAUAUAAGAGAAGAGUUCCCUUGCUGCUUUUGUUCAGAGUAUUUUGAUAUUGUUGGUUUAUGUUGCCAUAUUGAUGAUGAGCAUCCUGUUGAGGCUAAGAAUGGGGUUUGUCCGGUUUGCGCUAUGAGGGUGGGCGUUGACAUGGUUGCACAUAUUACCUUACAACAUGGGAAUAUCUUCAAAAUGCAGCGCAAGAGGAAAUCUCGCAGACCUGGUUCUCAUUCAACACUUUCCUUAUUAAGGAAGGAACUACGUGAAGGAAAUUUGCAGUCUCUAUUUGGAGGGUCUUCAUGUGUAGUUCCCUCAACUAGUACUGCGCCAGACCCCUUGUUGUCAUCAUUCAUUUUGCCAAUGGGUGAUGAUUUCAAGAGUGCUCAAACAUGUUCUCCUGCUGAAACAAUCUCAGCCAAGAAAAGCUCAGUAGUAACUGCCUCAGAAAGGAAAGUUCAAGAGGCCCCAUUGUCAAUCAAGGAUCAAGAGGAGAAGGCAAAGAGGAGUUCGUUUGUUCAAGGAUUGCUAUUGUCUACCAUUCUGGAUGAUAAUUUAUAGAGGUUGACAUGAAUGCUACCAGUUCACUGAUGAAUCCGUGUGGUUAGUGAUCCAGCACAGUGUGCAUGCUGGCACAAUUGUAAUCCAACCGUGGAAUAAGAUGUAGUAAUCCAUGUAAUCUAUCUUGUUGUUUGUAGAAUUUAGUUUUUAGGCGACAGACUCUUCAUGUAUCUUCUUUUAUUGCAGCUCAUGCUACUACCGUAAAG
rnacentral:misc_RNA from 1 species